rnacentral:rRNA from 1 species
AGAGUUUGAUCCUGGCUCAGAACGAACGCUGGCGGCAGGCUUGACACAUGCAAGUCGAACGCGUGUAGCAAUACACGAGUGGCGCACGGGUGAGUAACGCGUGGAUAUCUGCCUUUUGGUUCGGAAUAGCCCCGGGAAACUGGGGCUAAUACCGGAUGGUUCCUUCGGGAUAAAGAUUUAUCGCCAAAAGAUGAGUCCGCGUACGAUUAGCUAGUUGGUGAGGUAAUGGCUCACCAAGGCGACGAUCGUUAGCUGGUCUGAGAGGACGAUCAGCCACACUGGGACUGAGACACGGCCCAGACUCCUACGGGAGGCAGCAGUGGGGAAUAUUGGAUAAUGGGGGCAACCCUGAUCCAGCCAUGCCGCGU